rnacentral:rRNA from 1 species
CACGUAGUUAGCCGGUGCUUAUUCUUACGGUACCGUCAUGACCCGGGGAUAUUAGCCCCAGGCUUUUCGUUCCGUACAAAAGCAGUUUACAACCCGAGGGCCUUCAUCCUGCACGCGGCAUUGCUGGAUCAGACUUUCGCCCAUUGUCCAAAAUUCCCCACUGCUGCCUCCCGUAGGAGUCUGGGCCGUGUCUCAGUCCCAGUGUGGCUGGUCGUCCUCUCAGACCAGCUACAGAUCGCAGGCUUGGUAAGCCUUUACCCCACCAACUACCUAAUCUGCCAUCAGCCGCUCUAGUAGCACAAGGCCCGAAGGUCCCCUGCUUUCAUCCGUAGAUCUCAUGCGGUAUUAGCUACUCUUUCGAGUAGUUAUCCCCCAUACUAGGCACGUUCCGAUGUAUUACUCACCCGUUCGCCACUCGUCAGCAUCCGAAGACCUGUUACCGUUCGACUUGCAUGUGUAAAGCAUGCCGCCAGCGUUCAAUCUGAGCCAGGAUCAAACU